UACGUAGGGUGCAAGCGUUGUCCGGAAUUAUUGGGCGUAAAGAAGUCUCGUGAGCGGUCUGUUGCGUCGGCUGUGAAAACCCCGGGGCUCAACCCCCGGGCCUGCAGCCGAUACGGGCAGACUAGAGUUCGGCAGGGGAGACUGGAAUUCCUGGUGUAGCGGUGAAAUGCGCAGAUAUCAGGAGGAACACCGGUGGCGAAGGCGGGUCUCUGGGCCGAUACUGACGCUGAGGAGCGAAAGCGUGGGGAGCGAACAGG
rnacentral:rRNA from 1 species